rnacentral:rRNA from 1 species
GAUGAACGCUGGCGGCGUGCCUAAUACAUGCAAGUCGAGCGAACGGACGAGAAGCUUGCUUCUCUGAUGUUAGCGGCGGACGGGGGAGUAACACGUGGAUAACCUACCUAUAAGACUGGGAUAACUUCGGGAAACCGGAGCUAAUACCGGAUAAUAUUUUGAACCGCAUGGUUCAAAAGUGAAAGACGGUCUUGCUUUCACUUAUAGAUGGAUCCGCGCUGCAUUAGCUAGUUGGUAAGUUAACGGCUUACCAAGGCAACGAUGCAUAGCCGACCUGAGAGGGUGAUCGGCCACACUGGAACUGAGACACGGUCCAGACUCCUACGGGAGGCAGCAGUAGGGAAUCUUCCGCAACGGGCGAAAGCCUUACGGAGCAACGCCGCGUGAGUGAUGAAGGUCUUCGGAUCGUAAAACUCUGUUAUUAGGGAAGAACAUAUGUGUAAGUAACUGUGCACAUCUUGACGGUACCUAAUCAGAAAGCCACGGCUAACUACGUG